rnacentral:misc_RNA from 1 species
ACACGAGUAGUUCCUCCUCAAAGGCCGCCCCGGCUGCAACUUCAGCCAUUGGUGGAAGCGUUGCGUCCGCGGACACCGACAAGACGAUCUUCAUCGGGAAGGGCGAUCAGUCGGCAUUUUUGACGCUCGGGCUUGCGAACCGGCAUGGCCUCGUCACCGGCGCAACCGGCACCGGCAAGACCGUGACGCUUCAGGUGAUGGCCGNNNNUGUGCCGGUGUUCGCAGCCGACAUCAAGGGCGACCUUUCCGGCAUCGCGGAAGUGGGGGAGGCCAAGGACUUCAUUCUCAGCCGUGCCAAGGAUAUGGGUCUGCAGUUUCAGCCGGAUCAGUUCUCGACGAUAUUCUGGGACGUGUUCGGCGAGCAGGGCCACCCGGUUCGCGCCACCGUUACUGAAAUGGGGCCGUUGCUGCUGUCGCAGAUGCUCCAGCUCAACGACGUGCAGGAAGGCGUCCUCAACGUCGCGUUCCGCGUUGCCGACGAGCAUGGUCUUGCUUUGGUCGACAUGAAGGAUCUGCGCGCCUUGCUUGACGCCAUCGUGCCC